UAUCUGCACAAUUUGAAAAUAAAGCCUA
rnacentral:sRNA from 1 species